rnacentral:rRNA from 1 species
GGUUAAGCGACUAAGCGUACACGGUGGAUGCCCUGGCAGUCAGAGGCGAUGAAGGACGUGCUAAUCUGCGAUAAGCGUCGGUAAGGUGAUAUGAACCGUUAUAACCGGCGAUUUCCGAAUGGGGAAACCCAGUGUGUUUCGACACACUAUCAUUAACUGAAUCCAUAGGUUAAUGAGGCGAACCGGGGGAACUGAAACAUCUAAGUACCCCGAGGAAAAGAAAUCAACCGAGAUUCCCCCAGUAGCGGCGAGCGAACGGGGAGGAGCCCAGAGCCUGAAUCAGUGUGUGUGUUAGUGGAAGCGUCUGGAAAGGCGCGCGAUACAGGGUGACAGCCCCGUACACAAAAAUGCACAUGCUGUGAGCUCGAUGAGUAGGGCGGGACACGUGGUAUCCUGUCUGAAUAUGGGGGGACCAUCCUCCAAGGCUAAAUACUCCUGACUGACCGAUAGUGAACCAGUACCGUGAGGGAAAGGCGAAAAGAACCCCGGCGAGGGGAGUGAAAAAGAACCUGAAACCGUGUACGUACAAGCAGUGGGAGCCUCUUAAUGGGGUGACUGCGUACCUUUUGUAUAAUGGGUCAGCGACUUAUAUUCUGUAGCAAGGUUAACCGAAUAGGGGAGCCGAAGGGAAACCGAGUCUUAACUGGGCGUUAAGUUGCAGGGUAUAGACCCGAAACCCGGUGAUCUAGCCAUGGGCAGGUUGAAGGUUGGGUAACACUAACUGGAGGACCGAACCGACUAAUGUUGAAAAAUUAGCGGAUGACUUGUGGCUGGGGGUGAAAGGCCAAUCAAACCGGGAGAUAGCUGGUUCUCCCCGAAAGCUAUUUAGGUAGCGCCUCGUGAAUUCAUCUCCGGGGGUAGAGCACUGUUUCGGCAAGGGGGUCAUCCCGACUUACCAACCCGAUGCAAACUGCGAAUACCGGAGAAUGUUAUCACGGGAGACACACGGCGGGUGCUAACGUCCGUCGUGAAGAGGGAAACAACCCAGACCGCCAGCUAAGGUCCCAAAGUCAUGGUUAAGUGGGAAACGAUGUGGGAAGGCCCAGACAGCCAGGAUGUUGGCUUAGAAGCAGCCAUCAUUUAAAGAAAGCGUAAUAGCUCACUGGUCGAGUCGGCCUGCGCGGAAGAUGUAACGGGGCUAAACCAUGCACCGAAGCUGCGGCAGCGACACUAUGUGUUGUUGGGUAGGGGAGCGUUCUGUAAGCCUGUGAAGGUAGCCUGUGAGGGUUGCUGGAGGUAUCAGAAGUGCGAAUGCUGACAUAAGUAACGAUAAAGCGGGUGAAAAGCCCGCUCGCCGGAAGACCAAGGGUUCCUGUCCAACGUUAAUCGGGGCAGGGUGAGUCGACCCCUAAGGCGAGGCCGAAAGGCGUAGUCGAUGGGAAACAGGUUAAUAUUCCUGUACUUGGUGUUACUGCGAAGGGGGGACGGAGAAGGCUAUGUUGGCCGGGCGACGGUUGUCCCGGUUUAAGCGUGUAGGCUGGUUUUCCAGGCAAAUCCGGAAAACCAAGGCUGAGGCGUGAUGACGAGGCACUACGGUGCUGAAGCGACAAAUGCCCUGCUUCCAGGAAAAGCCUCUAAGCAUCAGGUAACAUCAAAUCGUACCCCAAACCGACACAGGUGGUCAGGUAGAGAAUACCAAGGCGCUUGAGAGAACUCGGGUGAAGGAACUAGGCAAAAUGGUGCCGUAACUUCGGGAGAAGGCACGCUGAUAUGUAGGUGAAGCGACUUGCUCGUGGAGCUGAAAUCAGUCGAAGAUACCAGCUGGCUGCAACUGUUUAUUAAAAACACAGCACUGUGCAAACACGAAAGUGGACGUAUACGGUGUGACGCCUGCCCGGUGCCGGAAGGUUAAUUGAUGGGGUUAGCGGUAACGCGAAGCUCUUGAUCGAAGCCCCGGUAAACGGCGGCCGUAACUAUAACGGUCCUAAGGUAGCGAAAUUCCUUGUCGGGUAAGUUCCGACCUGCACGAAUGGCGUAAUGAUGGCCAGGCUGUCUCCACCCGAGACUCAGUGAAAUUGAACUCGCUGUGAAGAUGCAGUGUACCCGCGGCAAGACGGAAAGACCCCGUGAACCUUUACUAUAGCUUGACACUGAACAUUGAGCCUUGAUGUGUAGGAUAGGUGGGAGGCUUUGAAGUGUGGACGCCAGUCUGCAUGGAGCCGACCUUGAAAUACCACCCUUUAAUGUUUGAUGUUCUAACGUUGGCCCCUAAUCGGGGUUGCGGACAGUGUCUGGUGGGUAGUUUGACUGGGGCGGUCUCCUCCUAAAGAGUAACGGAGGAGCACGAAGGUUGGCUAAUCCUGGUCGGACAUCAGGAGGUUAGUGCAAUGGCAUAAGCCAGCUUGACUGCGAGCGUGACGGCGCGAGCAGGUGCGAAAGCAGGUCAUAGUGAUCCGGUGGUUCUGAAUGGAAGGGCCAUCGCUCAACGGAUAAAAGGUACUCCGGGGAUAACAGGCUGAUACCGCCCAAGAGUUCAUAUCGACGGCGGUGUUUGGCACCUCGAUGUCGGCUCAUCACAUCCUGGGGCUGAAGUAGGUCCCAAGGGUAUGGCUGUUCGCCAUUUAAAGUGGUACGCGAGCUGGGUUUAGAACGUCGUGAGACAGUUCGGUCCCUAUCUGCCGUGGGCGCUGGAGAACUGAGGGGGGCUGCUCCUAGUACGAGAGGACCGGAGUGGACGCAUCACUGGUGUUCGGGUUGUCAUGCCAAUGGCACUGCCCGGUAGCUAAAUGCGGAAGAGAUAAGUGCUGAAAGCAUCUAAGCACGAAACUUGCCCCGAGAUGAGUUCUCCCUGACUCCUUGAGAGUCCUGAAGGAACGUUGAAGACGACGACGUUGAUAGGCCGGGUGUGUAAGCGCAGCGAUGCGUUGAGCUAACCGGUACUAAUGAACCGUGAGGCUUAACCUU